rnacentral:tRNA from 1 species
CGCGGGGUGGAGAAGCCGGUAUCUCGCCAGGCCCAUAACCUGGAGACCGAGGGUUCGAAUCCCUCCCCCGCCA